rnacentral:rRNA from 1 species
CCUACGAGUGGCAGCAGUGGGGAAUAUUGCACAAUGGGGGAAACCCUGAUGCAGCGACGCCGCGUGAGUGAAGAAGUAUUUCGGUAUGUAAAGCUCUAUCAGCAGGGAAGAAGAACGACGGUACCUGACUACGAAGCCCCGGCUAACUACGUGCCAGCAGCCGCGGUAAUACGUAGGGGGCAAGCGUUAUCCGGAUUUACUGGGUGGAAAGGGAGCGUAGACGGCUGUGUAAGUCUGAAGUGAAAGCCCAGGGCUUAACCCUGGGACUGCUUUGGAAACUGUGGAGCUAGAGUGCUGGAGAGGUAAGUGGAAUUCCUAGUGUAGCGGUGAAAUGCGUAGAUAUUAGGAGGAACACCAGUGGCGAAGGCGGCUUACUGGACAGUAACUGACGUUGAGGCUCGAAAGCGUGGGGAGCAAACAGGAUUAGAUACCCGUGUAGUC